AACUUUCGGAAAUGGAUCUCUUGGUUCUGGCAUCGAUGAAGAACGCAGCGAAAUGCGAUAAGUAAUGUGAAUUGCAGAAUGCAGUGAAUCAUCGAAUCUUUGCACGCACAUUGCGCACGCUAGUAUUCUGGCGGGCAUGCCUGUUCGAGCGUCAUUUCAACCAUCAAGCCCUAGGCUUGUGUUGGGGCCCUGCGGCCGUCCGCAGCCCCCUAAAAACAGUGGCGGGCUCGCUAUAUACCGAGUGCAGUAGUUUACUCUUCGCUCAGGACAUGUAGUGAGUUCUUGCCGUAAAACCCCCCAUUUUUUAAGGUUGACCUCGGAUCAGGUAGGAAUACCCGCUGAACUUAAGCAUAUCAAUAAGCGGAGGCU
rnacentral:misc_RNA from 1 species